rnacentral:rRNA from 1 species
GGGUCAGUAGGUUGGUCGUGCCACCGGUACGUACUGGUCUCACUGAUUCCUCCUUCCUGAAGAACCGUAAUGCCGUUAAUUUGGUGUUGCGGGGAAACAGGACUGUUACUUUGAAAAAAUUAGAGUGUUUAAAGCAAGCUAACGCUUGAAUACAUUAGCAUGGAAUAAUGAAAUAGGACGAUCGAUCCUAUUUUGUUGGUUUCUAGGAUUGACGUA